GGUCGCCAUUGACGAAGCAUGGCUGCUGCCAUGAAGCUGUGCUAUUAUUCAGUUGAUUUUUCAUUGUGUGAUGACAUAAAAUACGCCAAUCACCACUACUAUCACCACUACCACCACUGUCACCACUAUCACCAUCACCACAGCUGUAACAACCUUAUUUUAUGAUGAUAGAAAUAAAAUGGUGCAUUGCCGUUCAUUGUUAAACCUUUUGCUGUAUUUACCAUCAACUCCUAUGGUAUUAUCGAUGUUCGUGAACAUGCCCUGUACGUGGAUGGAUAUUAAGAUGGUGUGCUCUGGGACUCUUUAACUGCUUGAUUUAGUGAAUUAAAUCGUUAGUGUCUUUAA